AUAAUUAGAAUGGCAAUAGCACUGUUUAUGAAUAUGUUGCUUCUAUCUCUUCCUUUCUUCCUCUUCAUAACUCUCCUGAAACGUAGCAUUAGCAACCAUGGCGAUUGCAAUCAUCUUCCCCCAGGCCCUCCAAGUCUUCCCUUGAUUGGUCACUUACAUAUGUUGAUGUUUGGUAACUCAGACCUCCUCCAUAUUUUCCUUUGGAAACUCUCUAAACAAUAUGGUUCUCUCCUGUCCUUACGACUUGGAUUUAGGCCAACCCUUGUAGUUUCUUCAGCAAAAAUGGCUAAGGAGGUUAUGAAAACUCGUGACCUCGACUUCUGCAGCAGGCCUAAUCUAUGUGCUAUUCGCAAAUUAUCUUACAAUACAUCGGAUUUGUCUUUUUCACCAUACAGUGAGUCCUGGAAGGAGAUUAGGAAAAUUUGUGUUAUACAUCUGUUCAGCAGAGUGCGAAAGUAUCGUUCCAUUCGAGAAGACGAAGUUGCUCACCUGGUUGAGAAAAUAUGUCGAUUAUCCGUUGAUUCUAAGCCUGUCAACUUGAGUGAGGCAAUGGUGUGCUUAUCCUGUUCAAUAAUUUCAAGAGUGGGCUUCGGUAAGACUUACGAUGAAGAAGGAGCUGAAGGAAGUAGGUUACAUGGGCUGAUUAAAGAAAGUGUAGCCAUGUUUACAAGCUUUAGUCUGACUGUUUUCCUUUCAUGGGUUGGGUUGAUAGAUUCACUGGGUUUCACGCUCGUCUUGAAAAAUUUUCCAUAGAACUUGAUACCUUCUAUCAACAACUCAUUGAUGAACAUCUUAAUCCGAAUAGGCUAAAACCAGAGCAAGAGGACAUACUCGAUGUGCUAUUACAGACAUGGAAGGACCGUGAUUUUCUAUUUGAUCUUACCCUAGAUCACAUAAAAGCUGUUAUUAUGGUUAUUUCAUCUUCACCCAAAGCGUUUAUUAUUAGCUUCACGCUUUAUGUAUCAUAACUUUGAUUUUUUUUUUUUAACUUCUGCAGGAUGUUCUUUUUGCUGGAACGGAGACAACUGCGGUUACCGUGAUUUGGGUCAUGAGCUUCUUUAUGAAAAAUCCAGAGUGUUUGAAGAAAGCUCAAGAGGAAGUAAGGGAUUUGAUUGGGAAAAAUAGAUUUCUAAACGAAGAUGAUGUUCAAGCUUUAACUUACCUAAAGGCUGUGGUAAAAGAAACAUUCAGAUUGCAACCAACACUUCCAUUGUUGCUACCACGAGAAACACUUCGAAAAUGCUGCAUAGGUGGGUACCAAGUACCUGCCAAUACCUUGGUGUAUGUGAAUGCAUGGGCAAUAGGAAGAGACCCUGAAGCUUGGAGAAACCCUGAAGAAUUUUGUCCUGAAAGGUUCAUUGGCAGCUCUAUUGACUACAAAGGGCUAAACUUUGAGCUCAUACCGUUUGGUGCGGGUAGAAGGGUUUGCCCUGGAAUGCAUAUGGCAGUUGCAGCAGUGGAGCUUGUUCUUGCUAAUCUUCUUUACAAGUUCGAUUAGGAAAUGCCGACCGAAAUGAACAAGGCAAACUUAAACUUUGAUGGCACACCUGGCUUAGUUACGCACAAAAAAGAUGCUCUUAUCCUUGUGGCUGGGAAGAUUAAUGAUUAAUCAGUGUAUCAUUAUAGUAACUUAUUUGAUGCUUAUUGCUCUAGUUUCUACUUUGUACAGUUUCAUCUUGAACACUUAUCAAACGUUAGAAACACCUCGCUUGUUUAAUUAACCUGCAAUUACAGCUAUGUUUGUCAAGCUACCAUCUCAAUUGAAUAUAUAUAUAUUGCAAAAAGCAAUUUAUAUAUAUCUGCAAAUAUACAAAUAUGUGUUAUCCAUUAACCAUUAUUAUCCUUACAUAUAUAGUAUGAAGGAAUAUUGUAUUUCUCAGUUGGUGUGUGGUACAAUUAACAAACACUAGUUUUCAUUCUUUAAUCACACAGGUUAGUUGUAUGUAUUACAUAUACGAAUGAAAUAAUGUAUUCUUACAAAUAUGCACAUAGCUUACAAGAUUAAGCAUUAAACUAGGUUCAAACCAAAACAUUAUUCACAAGAAACACAUAGACAAACACCUAAGUUCAUGCCACAAUAUCGAGUUACAAAAUGAGCAAAAGUUUACUGAGGUGAUAGGUGAAUAGUAUGAGCUUCAAGGCGAUCCGAACGACACGAUCCGCAAACCGACAAUCUACAGAAAAAGGAAAAACACUGGGUAAGCAUUUCAAAUACUUAAUAAGCCCAUAUAAAACUUAUCUACAGAAAAAGGAAAAACACUGGGUAAGCAUUUCAAAUACUUAAUAAGCCCAUAUAAAACUUACUCAACUUACCUUAACAUUUUAACAAUUAGGUAAAUGUACUACAUUGAAAUUAAGCUUAAAAUUCCUUUUGCAUCACAUUCCUCUAUAUGCAAUUCAAUAAAUACAUCAAUGGUUAGUUCAAUUCCAUAGCACAAGUUUAUAUCACAAUCAUAUAGAUGCAUAAAUUUCCAUCACAUAACAUAUAUAAACUACUUUAUAUUUAAAACUUUAACAUGUAUAAUUCUAUUUACAUAUGUAUUCAUUUCUAUUUUCACCCAGAGAACUCUAGUAAAUUGAACUAGGAUACACGAGAUUGAUUUAAUUACAUAUGUUGACAUUACCGGACUACUAACACUAGCUUAGUACGAUGCUAUUAACAUUAGCUUCAGAGAAUUGCAACAUAUGUUGGAUCUCAAGUCAUCGUCUCAAUUUCUCAUUUUUCUUUUCUGUAUCAUUUCAAACCCUAUAACCAUAUACACACUUUUCAUAUAUCGAAUAGUAAUUCAUAUACAUCUUAACUUUGUAACAUCAUCAUAUACACAUCUUCCAAUAUUAUAACAAUUUCACAUCAUUCGAUACCAUAUAUUUCAUAAUUUACAAUUUAGUUCAUUCGAUGCCAAAGAUCAUUGAAAUUAAAAUUAACCUAAAUUAAUAAACACUAUUGUAACAAGCCAAAUUCGUCCGGCCCAAACCCAAACAAAACAAACCAAAAAACAGUUAAAACAAAAAAUAAAUAAAACUCCAUUAACACUCCAAAUUACAAGCCUAAAACCCAAUCUACUAACCUAAACUCCAAGCCCAAAUACAAAAAAAACCCUAAAGCCCAAUAGCCAACUAUCUUAAACUUAAAAAAAAACCCUAAAAGUCCCUAUGCCUCUAGCCGCCGCCCUCACCACAUUAGCAGGCAUGUCGUCUAAGGCCUGGCACCUCCUCGUCCUUCCCACCACCGCCCGCAAAAAACAGAGAAAUAGAGACAAAGAAGCAGAGAAAAGAAAGAAAAAAUAUUAUUAUUUUGUAAUAUAUUUCGGCUAUAAAAGCCGAAAAUAGAUUGUAACAAAAAAAAUUUGGCAGAGAAUACAAAAAAACAACCAAGUUAAAAAAGGUGGUUCUUUUAUUUAAUCUACUAUUUUAUUUUACUUUUUUUCAUAAAAAGCAUAUAAAAUAAUAAACAAGGUUUAAAAAAAACUUACCUCAUCGCUUCAUCUUCCACCACCGUCGUUGAUGGCUUUCUGCCAAUUCGAAUGGUCUAUGAACCCAUUAGUCGUCAAUGGCCUCGACGGAGAAGAGGAAAAUAGAAUACAACAAAAAAAAAAACAAAGGUAGUCAAUCUUUUUUUAUACCUUUUUAUUUCGUAAAAUAUAAAAAUAAAAAAAUAUAUUUAAAUUUUUUUACCUGUUAAGCGCCUUCGUAGAAUCCCUUCCUCCGACUCGAAAAGCCUCGGAACCCCUAGGGUUCCGUUGAGGGCCUCGUCGGAGAAGGGAGAAACCAAAAGGUUUCUUUUCCUUCGAUUAAACCUUGACUAAAUUUCUAGGGAUUUUAAAUCCCAAAUAUGUAUUCUACUCGAAAAGAGGGUCAAAAGGGCCUAUUUUGGGGAACUCUGGCCACCGGAGGCGGCAAUCUCCGUCGUCGAUGACCGGUGGCCACGGUAGAGACCCACCAUCUCAUGGCCGGACAGAAAAGGGGUUGAGACAGUAGAGAGAGUUUUUUUUUUAAAAAGGUUACCAAUGAUUUUUUUUAAAAGAUUUUUUUGACUUAUAUAAGCUCAUUAAAACAGCGUCAUUUUGGGUUUGGCUUCAAACGCCCAAAACGGCGUCAUUUCAAGCCUAAUCCGAAUUUCGACCCGACCCUUCUUAGGAUCUGCGUGUUUUUGAAUGGAGGGGCUAAUUGCCAUUUUGGUUCUUCCACCUUUUUGCCCCUUUUUAAUCUUGUCUUAUUUCUUUUUUAUUUAUUUUAAUUUUACCCCUUUUAAUUUAUUUUCUUACAUUUUAGUCCCUUGACCUACUGUUGACCCACUGAGGGUGACACGUGUACUAGGGUUGGGGAAAAUAGCACACUAGGUGGCUAUAUUUUUCCACUUUGUUUUAAUUUAAUCCUUUAUUUAUUUUUUUCUUGCAAUUCAGACUUUAAAAUGUUUUAGGGUUUCAAUUUAGUCCUUAUUUUUUAUUCAGUCCCUUUACUUUAUGUUAUUUAAAUUCCAACAUGUUUAAAUUUUUAUUUAUUAUUUUUUUCCCUUUAAAUUAUGAAAUUUACAUUUUACCCUCAAAUUUCCCAAUUAUUUCCUUUUAGUCUUUUAUUUACUUCUUUGUUUUUUUUUUAAUUUGCACUUUAAAUUUAGUCCUCUAUUCAUUUUAUUCAGCAUAUUUAUUUCAUUUUAAUUCCCUUCACUUUUAAUCUUUGUUAUUUAUAUUUUUUCCCCUUCAAAUUGUAUAAUUUGUUAUUUGGUCCUUAAAUAUUAUUAUUAGCACUAAUUAACAUGUUUUUAUAACAUUAUUAUUAGUUAUGAUAUAUUGCAUUAUUUAUGUUCUUAUGACAUCAUAUACAACAUUUAAACAUACUCGUGUAUCUCAUACAGGGUAUUAUGUUCAAAUAAGUCCAUAGUAUGUCAUAUUAGAAGCCUCGUUUUCAUACAUUGUAUAUUUAGCAAUUUGAACCAAUGCGGUGUUCUUUAAUUAGGGGAUUCAAGAAAUUGUGCCUCUAACUUACGGAGUAUGAUUUUCUCUUUGAACCGAAAUAAUCAAACUUUCAUCCUCUUUUUUAAAAAAAUAAAUUUUAAAAAUACAUUGGGCAAUAAUUAAACGACGAGCGUUCUUAUUUUUGAGAAUUCGAGGUUUUGGGUCCCAACUUACAGGACAUGACUUUUCAUCUUAAUCGGCCCGAAAUGGGAAAACCUCCUCAUUAAAAAUUCAAUUUAGAUAGUGACAUUUUCAGUGCCAUCAAAUAACAUCAUGUAAAAAGGGAUCUCAUUUUAAAUUCUCUUCGGAUUCUCAAUUUUUGACGUCAAGAUAUUAAGUAAUCAACUAGGUAUUAAUUUUGGGCAUUAUGAGGGUGCUAAUCAUUCCUCAUACGUAACCGACUCCCGAACCCAUUUCCUGAAUUUUGUAGACCGAAAAUCAUCUUUUUAGUAAAUCUAACAUUUUAUUAAAAUAACCAAGUUUUGAGGUGAUCUAAUCACACCUAAUUAAAAAGGAUUGGUGGCGACUCCAUUUUCACUUUAAAAUAACAAGUCAAUUGCCAACAAGGUUUCGAAAAUUAUAAUAUAAUUCAAACAUAACAUAAAAUAACAUAGUUAGUUCCAUAUGAGCUUACCUGGAAAAACAGCAAGCAAACAAGGUGUUAAGGACUAAUCUACAAUUUCUCCUUUUUUUCAAUUAUCUUUCAAUUGAUUCAAAUUUUGAUCUAUAAUAAUUUAUUACAAUUUAUCAUUUCUAAACAUCUAUUAACAAUCUACUUUAACCAUAAAUCAGUUCAAUUUCUUUUUUUUGAUUUUUUUUUAAAUUUUACAUUUUAUUCAAUUUAGUCCCUAAAAUCAAAAUAGCUAUAACUUUUAAAUUUGAGCCUCGAUUUUGAAAUCAAUCUCAAUUCCAUUCUUCUACAGCCCUCUAAUAACUAUAUUUAUAGAAAUUUCACGCAAAAUUCAAAAUUAUUACAUUUUAGUCCCUAAAUUCAAAACUAACAUUUUUCACUUUACAAACUAGUUAUUUUUCAAAUCUAAGCUUAAAAUUAAACUAUUUAACACUAAAACUUCAAGCAUUCAUCAAUUGCAUCAUUUAUAAUCUUUAAAAAUUUCGGAAAGUAAUACUUGAGUUAACUAAAUCAAACUGUAAUGAUAUCAAAAACAUAAAGUUUACAAAAAAAAAAUGAACUUUUAAUUUAGUUACAUGCAAGGGCAGAAGACCUUAAAAACAAAACAAUGGCUUCUUCUUUUUCUUCCUCCUACAAUCAGUGGGGGAUGAUGGGAAAAUAAAAGAUGGUGACUUUCAUUUUAAUAUUUUAUGUUUAUUUUAUUCUUUUAACUUAUUAUAUUUUUAAUUUUAUUUUAUCUAAUCCUCCAACCACCCGUCCACUAACAUAUAAAAUGGCUUAUUUUCCAUUUUGUACCAUGGUUUAAUUACUACUUUAGUCAUUUAGCAAUUACAAAUCUAUAGCAAUUAACUUUUGUUGUUUUUAUGAUUUAGUCAUUGUACUCUAAUUAGCUAUCUAAACAGCAAAAUUAAUGGGCCAAACUUCAAUUAAAUUUUAUACUAACCUUGUAAAUAUUAUAUUUAAUAUUUAUGGACUGGCUCGUCGAAAAUGAGGUUCUGAAACUACUGUUUCUGACACCACUGACUUUCAGGUCGAAACACCUGUACAUUAACUGACUAUCCAAUUAACAAAAUCGUCAAACCAAAAUUUAAUAUAAUACUCAAAUUAACUCACAAAUAUUAAUUAAUAAUAUUUACGAAAUUGAUCAUCGGAGAACAGGAUUUCGAAACUACUAAAAAAUAGGUUGUUAUAAUAUAAUAUUAAAAGUGCAUGAUUAUAUAAAUAUUGUUUUUUAUACUGUAUAAAUAUUGUUUAAAUUUUUAAAAAUUGUAUGAAAUUUUUAAAAAGUUUUUUUUAGGUAAUAUGUUUCUAAACUAUUAUUUCUUAUUUUUAAAAAUAAAAAAAGUAUCUUUUUAUAUUAAUAUAAGCUUUUAACAGUCUUUGAAUGAAAAAUAAAGGUUUGCAUAUUUUCAAAUUAAUUAUAAAUAAAUUUUUAUAUUUAUUAUAAUUUUUUAAUGAGUUGAAAUUCGAAUCAGAAUUUAGAAACAAAACAACUAAAUUUAGAAGAAUAUUUACAUUUCACAAAAUAGAAAAUUUUCAAAGGAAUACUAUAAUAAAUAUCGAUAAUGACAAUAGAAUAAUAAGAAAAAAAUAAAAAUAUAUAAAUUUUAUGUAAAAAUCCUUUCGGAUUACAGAUAAAAAAAAGUUUAUUAAUAUUAAAAAACUAAUAUAUAUUAGGCGCAUUGACAUAUACCCACAAACUCUAAUCAUAUCUAAUAAAGUGGUGGACAUAGAUACAUCUAACCCAAUAGCACUGAUAAUGAUACUUCUAUUAACUCAGUCUCCUAAAUCAUUGUAUUAGCCAUAAUGUCAAUUUUAUUCUUCAUUCAGUCUAAUUUCUUGUUUGCUCAUCUAAAUGACAAGCUUUCAUUUUCUUUAAACUUAAAAAGUCUUAAGAGUAAUAAAAUGAUUGAAAAAGAGUAGGAUAAGUGGACUCUUCCUCUCAAGUUUCAAACAAAUUAGAGCAGAUAAUUAGAAUGGCAAUAGCACUGUUUAUGUUCAUCUUUCUUCUAGCUCUCCCUUUCUUCCUCUUCAUAACUCUCCUGAAACGUAGCAUUAGCAACCAUGGCGAUUGCAAUCAUCUUCCCCCAGGCCCUCCAAGUCUUCCCUUGAUUGGUCACUUACAUAUGUUGAUGUUUGGUAACUCAGACCUCCUCCAUAUUUUCCUUUGGAAACUCUCUAAACAAUAUGGUUCUCUCCUGUCCUUACGAUUUGGAUGUAGGCCAACCCUUGUAGUUUCUUCAGCAAAAAUGGCUAAAGAGGUUAUGAAAACUCGUGACCUCGACUUCUGCAGCAGGCCUACUCUAUGUGCUAUUCGCAAAUUAUCUUACAAUGUCUCGGAUUUGUCUUUUUCACCGUACAGUGAGUAUUGGAAGGAGAUUAGGAAAAUUUGUGUUGUACAUCUGUUCAGCAGGGUGCAAAAGUAUCGUUCCAUUCGAGAAGACGAAGUUGCUCGCCUGGUUGAGAAAAUAUGUCGAUUAUCCGUUGAUUCUAAGCCUGUCAACUUGAGUGAGGCAAUGGUGUGCUUUUCCUAUUCAAUAAUUUCAAGAGUGGGCUUCGGAAAGAGGUACGAUGAAGAAGGAGCUGAAGGAAGUAGGUUACAUGGGCUGCUUAAAGAAAGUCAAGCCAUGUUUACAAGCUUUAGUUUUUCUGACUAUUUUCCUUUCAUGGGCUGGGUCGAUAGAUUCACUGGGUUUCACGCUCGUCUUGAAAAUCUCUUCAAAGAACUUGAUACCUUCUAUCAGCAACUCAUUGAUGAACAUCUUAAUCCGAAUAGGCUAAAACCAGAGCAAGAGGACAUACUCGAUGUGUUAUUACAGACAUGGAAGGAUCGUGAUUUUCUAUUUGAUCUUACCUUAGAUCAUAUAAAAGCUAUUAUUAUGGUUAUUUCAUCUUCAUCCGAAACGUUUAUUAUUAGCUUCACGCUUUAUUUAUGUAUAACUUCGAUUUUUUAACUUUGCAGGAUGUGCUUUUUGCUGGAACAGAGACAACAGCGGUUACCGUGAUUUGGGUCAUGAGCUUCUUGAUGAAAAAUCCAGGGUGUUUGAAGAAAGCUCAAGAGGAAGUAAGGGAUUUGAUUGGGAAAAAAGGAUUUCUAAAUGAAGAUGAUGUUCAAGCUUUAACUUACCUAAAGGCUGUGGUAAAAGAAACAUUCAGAUUGCAACCAGCAGUUCCAUUGUUGCUACCACGAGAAACACUUCGAAAAUGCUGCAUAGGUGGGUACCAAGUACCUGCCAAUACCUUGGUGUAUGUGAAUGCAUGGGCAAUAGGAAGAGACCCUGAAGCUUGGAGAAACCCUGAAGAAUUUUGUCCUGAAAGGUUCAUUGGCAGCUCUAUUGACUACAAGGGGCUAAACUUUGAGCUCAUACCGUUUGGUGCGGG
rnacentral:lncRNA from 1 species